CCAGACUCCUACGGGAGGCAGCAGUGGGGAAUCUUCCGCAAUGGACGAAAGUCUGACGGAGCAACGCCGCGUGAGUGAUGACGGCCUUCGGGUUGUAAAGCUCUGUUAAUCGGGACGAAAGGCCUUCUUGCGAAUAGUGAGAAGGAUUGACGGUACCGGAAUAGAAAGCCACGGCUAACUACGUGCCAGCAGCCGCGGUAAUACGUAGGUGGCAAGCGUUGUCCGGAAUUAUUGGGCGUAAAGCGCGCGCAGGCGGAUAGGUCAGUCUGUCUUAAAAGUUCGGGGCUUAACCCCGUGAUGGGAUGGAAACUGCCAAUCUAGAGUAUCGGAGAGGAAAGUGGAAUUCCUAGUGUAGCGGUGAAAUGCGUAGAUAUUAGGAAGAACACCAGUGGCGAAGGCGACUUUCUGGACGAAAACUGACGCUGAGGCGCGAAAGCCAGGGGAGCGAACGGGAUUAGAUACCCCGGUAGUCCUGGCCGUAAACGAUGGGUACUAGGUGUAGGAGGUAUCGACACCUUCUGUGCCGGAGUUAACGCAAUAAGUACCCCGCCUGGGGAGUACGACCGCAAGGUUGAAACUCAAAGGAAUUGACGGGGGCCCGCACAAG
rnacentral:rRNA from 1 species